rnacentral:tRNA from 1 species
AAGACAUUAGUAAAAAUAUUACAUAACUUUGUCAAAGUUAAAUUAUAGACUAAAAUCUAUAUGUCUUA